GACGAACGCUGGCGGCGUGCCUAAUACAUGCAAGUCGAACGCAGUGGGGACGGGUGAGUAACACGUGGGUUACCUCCCAUCAGAGGGGAUAACACUUGGAAACAGGUGCUUAUCCGAUACUGAAGGAUGGACCCGCGGUGCAUUAGCUAGUGGGUGAGGUAACGGCUCACCAAGGCCACGAUGCAUAGCCGACAUGAGAUGGUGAUCGGCCACACUGGGACGGAUACACGGGCCAGACGCCUACGGGAGGCAGCAGUAGGGCAUCGUCUGCAAUUGACGAAAGUCUGACCGAGCAACGCCGCGUGAUUGAAGAAGGUUUUCGGAUCGUAAAACUCUGUUGUUAGAGAAGCGGUAUCUAACCAGAAAGCCACGGCUAACUACGUGCCAGCAGCCGCGGUAAUAG
rnacentral:rRNA from 1 species